rnacentral:rRNA from 1 species
CUUGCAAUGGAAUGAGUACAAUUUAAAUCCCUUAACGAGGAUCAAUUGAGGGCAAGUCUGGUGCCAGCAGCCGCGGUAAUUCCAGCUCCAGUAGCGUAUAUUAAAGUUGUUGCAGUCAAAAAGCUCGUAGUUGGAUUUUUGGCCGUGAUUGACGAGCCGUGGUCCUCUGGAUCGCGGUUCGAAGGUCUGGCCUUUCUCGUGGCGAACGUGUCGGGGUCCUCACGGGCUUCGGCAUGGUAGCCACGUCUUUUACUGUGAAAAAAUUAGAGUGUUCAAAGCAGGCGUUUCGCACAUGAAUACAUCAGCAUGGAAUAAUAAGAUAGGACUUUGGUGCUAUUUUGUUGGUUUGCGCACCGAGGUAAUGGUUAACAGGGACAGUUGGGGGUAUUCGUAUUCGGUUGUCAGAGGUGAAAUUCUUGGAUUUACGGAAGACGAACGACUGCGAAAGCAUUACCAAGGAUGUUUUCAUUAAUCAAGAACGAAAGUUAGGGGAUCGAAGAUGAUUAGAUACCAUCGUAGUCUUAACCAUAAACUAUGCCGACUCGGGAUUGGCAGUCGUUUUUUACUGACUCUGCCAGCACCGUAUGAGAAAUCAAAGUCUUUGGGUUCCGGGGGGAGUAUGGUCGCAAGGCUGAAACUUAAAGGAAUUGACGGAAGGGCACACCAGGGGUGGAGCCUGCGGCUUAAUUUGACCCAACACGGGGAAACUCACCAGGUCCAGACAAAGUGAGGAUUGACAGAUUGAGAGCUCUUUCUUGAUUCUUUGGGUGGUGGUGCAUGGCCGUUCUUAGUUGGUGGAGUGAUUUGUCUGGUUAAUUCCGAUAACGAACGAGACCCCAACCUGCUAACUAGUUCCCGCUACUUCACGGUAGUCUGUGGCACUUCUUAGAGGGACAUUUCAGUUUUACUGGAAGGAAGUUUGGGGCGAUAACAGGUCUGUGAUGCCCUUAGAUGUUCUGGGCCGCACGCGCGCUACAAUGAUGCAUUCAACGAGUUUACAACCUUGGUCGAGAGGCCUGGGUAAUCUUCUAAACGUGCGUCGUGAUGGGGCUAGAUUCUUGCAAUUAUUAAUCUUCAACGAGGAAUCCCUAGUAAGCGCAAGUCAUCAACUUGCACUGAUUACUGUCCCUGCCCUUUGUACACACCGCCCGUCGCACCUACCGAUUGAAUGGUCCGGUGAAUUCUCCGGAAUCCUGCGAGGUUUGGUUUUCGGUCCCGAUCUCGCGGGGUGAAGCUGAAUAAACCUUACCAUUUAGAGGAAGGUGAAGUCGUAACAAGGU